rnacentral:rRNA from 1 species
UUCCGUAGGGGGAACCUGCGGAGGGAUCAUUACACAAUAAAAUACGAAGGCCGUUCGCGGCUGGACUAUUUAUUACCCUUGUCUUUUGCGCACUUGUUGUUUCCUGGGCGGGUUCGCUCGCCACCAGGACCACAAUAUAAACCUUUUUUAUGCAGUUGCAAUCAGCGUCAGUAUAACAAAUGUAAAUCAUUUACAACUUUCAACAACGGAUCUCUUGGUUCUGGCAUCGAUGAAGAACGCAGCGAAAUGCGAUACGUAGUGUGAAUUGCAGAAUUCAGUGAAUCAUCGAAUCUUUGAACGCACAUUGCGCCCUUUGGUAUUCCAAAGGGCAUGCCUGUUCGAGCGUCAUUUGUACCCUCAAGCUUUGCUUGGUGUUGGGCGUUUUUGUCUUUGGCCCGCCAAAGACUCGCCUUAAAAUGAUUGGCAGCCGGCCUACUGGUUUCGCAGCGCAGCACAUUUUUGCGCUUGCAAUCAGCAAAAGAGGACGGCAAUCCAUCAAGACUCCUUCUCACGUUUGACCUCGGAUCAGGUAGGGAUGCCAUCGCUGAACUUAAGCAUAUCAAAGUGGGGAGGAAA